ensembl:lncRNA
AUGGUUACCCCUACCCCCACUCAAGUCUGGUGUGUGUGUGUGAACACACAACAUACUGUACAGGGAGGAGGCCGCGUGCUGCCUCUACCCUUCUUGCAGGAGGUAAAGGUGUUAGCAGACAGGUAUGGUCUGGCUGUACACAUAGACGGAGCAAGAAUGAUGAAUGCAGCCAUUGCCCAGAAAGACGCCCCAUCUACAAUCCUACAAAACACACACCGUCAGCAUCUGUCUGUCCAAGGUGAGAACACACAAACACACCAUCAGCUGGACUCAUGUGUUUGUGAUAGAUACUGUGUGUGUGUUGCAGGGACUGGGUGCUCCAGAGGGCACCAUGCUGGCUGCCCCUCAAGACUAUAUCUCCAGGGCGGUGCGUUGUUGUAAAUCCAUAGGCAGAGGGCUGUGCCAUGCGGGCAUACUGUCAGCCGCUGGCAUUGGAGGACAUGGUCAACAUGCUGGAGACCGUGUGGCACCUGGGCAUCUCCCUGGAGGACACCCAGCUGACCCUCCAAAAGCUGCAGCACUCUCAUAAGAGGCUCAGGGCCCAAUAAAACCUGGGGCUCACAUACAGUUGAAGUCGGAAGUUUACAUACACUUAGGUUGGAGUCAUUAAAACUUGUUUUUCAACCGCUCCACAAAUUUCUGGUUAACAAACUAUAGUUUUGGCAAGUUGGUUAGGACAUCUACUUUGUGCAUGACACAAGUCAUUUUUCCAACAAUUGUUUACAGACAGAUUAUUUCACUUAUAAUUCACAAUAUCACAAUUCCAUUGGGUCAGAAGUUUACAUACACUAAGGUGACUGACUGCCUUUAAACAGCUUGGAAAAUUCCAGAAAAUUAUGUCAUGCUUUGGAAGCUUCUGAUAAGCUAUUUGACAUCAUUUGAGUAAAUUGGAGGUGUACCUGUGGAUGUAUUUCAAGGCCUACCUUCAAACUCAGUGUCUCUUUGCUUGACAUCAUAGGGAAAAUCAAAAGAAAUCAGCCAAGACCUCAGAAAACAAAAUUGUUGACCUCCACAAGUCUGGUUCAUCCUUGGGAGCAAUUUCCAAAUGCCUCAAGGUAUCACGUUCAUCUGUACAAACAAUAGUACACAAGUAUAAACACCAUGGGACCACGCAGCCGUCAUACCACUCAGGAAGGAGACGCGUUCUGUCUCCUAGAGAUGAACGUACUUUGGUGCGAAAAGUGCAAAUCAUCCCAGAACAGCAGCAAAGGACUUUGUGAAGAUGCUGGAGGAAACAGGCACAAAACGAUCCAUAUCCACAGUAAAACGAGUCCUUACAUCGACAUAACCUGAAAGGCCGCUCAGCAAGGAAGAAGCCACUGCUCUAAAACCGCCAUAAAAAAGCCAGACUACGGUUUGCAACUGCACAUGGGGACAAAGAUCGUACUUUUUGGAGAAAUGUCCUCUGGUCUGAUGAAACAAAAAUAGAACUGUUUGGCCAUAAUGACCAUCGUUAUGUUUGGAGGAAAAAGGGGGAGGCUUGCAAGCUGAAGAACACCAUCCCAACCAUGAAGCACGGGGGUGGCAGCAGCAUGUUGUGGGGUGCUUUGCUGCAGGAGGGACUGGUGCACUUCACAAAAUAGAUGGCAUCAUGAAAAUUGUCGCUUUAUUGAAGCAACAUCUCAAGACAUCAGUCAGGAAGUUAAAGCUUGGUCGCAAAUGGGUCUUCCAAAUGGACAAUGACCCCAAAGCAUACUUACAAAGUUGUGGCAAAAUGGCUUAAGGACAACAAAGUCAAGGUAUUGGAGUGGCCAUCACAAAGCCCUGACCUCAAUCCUAUAGAAAAUGUGUGGGCAGAACUGAAAAAGCGUGUUUGAGCAAGGAUGCCUACAAACCUGACUCAGUUACACCAGCUCUGUCAGGAGGAAUGGGCCAAAAUUCACCCAACUUAUUGUGGGAAGCUUGUGGAAGGCUACCUGAAACGUUUGACCCAAGUUAAACAAUUUAAAGGCAAUGCUACCAAAUACUAAUUAAGUGUAUGUAAACUUCUGACCCACUGGGAAUGUGAUGAAAAACAUUACAUCUGAAAUAAAUAAUUCUCUCUGCUAUUAUUCUGACAUUUCACAUUCUUAAAAUAACGUGGUGAUCCUAACUGACCUAAGACAGGGAAUUUUUACUAGGAUUAAAAUGUCAGGAAUUGUGAAAAACUGUGUUUAAAUGUAUUUGACUAAGGUGUAUGUAAACUUCUGACUUCAACUGUAGAUGUGACCCAGCCAUGGCAAGCUGCAGGUUGGGCACCCAUGAUCAUGGAUCUCUUAUUUAGAGGGAUUCACUGGAAGCCCUUUGAGACAAAUUUAAAUACCACAAAAUAAUGUUCCAGAUAGACUGCUUAGAAAUAAGUCUGUAACUAAUAAAUUAUGGAAUUGUCCACAAUGCCCUUAAGUGGACUCUUCUUUGUAAUGACUAUGCAACACCACAAGAUGGCAGUAAAGGUCUCAUGGCUAUUGUAGUUUACCACUAGUCACCAGUCUAUGCAACAGACAUGUUUUAUAGUUCACCUGAAUUACCAAGGUUUUCUAACUCGUAAUUAGGGCUGUCAAAGUUCAAAUCAAAUUGUAUUUGUCACAUGGGCCGAAUACAACAGGUGGUAGACCUUACCAUGAAGUGCUUACUUACAAGACCUUAACCAACAAUGCAGUUCAAGAAAGAAUUAAGACAAUAUUUACUAAAUAAACUAAAGUUUAAAAAAAACGUAUAAAAAAGUAACGAGACUGUAUACAAUAACGAGGCUAUAUACAGGGGGUACCGGUACCGAGUCAUCUCUGUAUACCCGUCGCAAGACCCACUGGUUGAUGCUUAUUUAUAAAACCCGCUUUGGCCUCACUAUCUGAGAUAUUUACUGCAGGCCUCAUCCUCCACAUACAACACCCGUUCUGCCAGUCACAUUCUCCCCAGAGCACACACAUCCCUGGGUCGCUCGUCUUUUCAGUUCGCUGCAGCUAGCGACUGGAACGAGCUGCAACAAAAACUCUCAAACUGGACAGUUUUUAUCUCAAUCUCUUCAUUCAAAGACUCAAUCAUGAACACCUUUACUGACAGUUGUGGCUGCUUUCCGUGAUGUAUUGUUGUCUCUACCUUCUUUCUGCUGUCUGUGCCCAAUAAAUGUACCAUGUUUUGUGCUGCUACCAUGUUGUGUUGUUACCAUUGCUGUGUUGUCUUAGGUCUCUCUUUAUGUAGUGUUGUCUCUCUUGUUGUGAUGCGUUUUGUCCUAUAAAAAAUAUAGAUUUUUAAUCCCCGUCUCCCGCAGGAGGCCUUUUGGUAGGCCGUCAUUGUAAAUAAGAAUUUGUUCUUAACUGACUUGCCUAGUUAAAUAAAGGUUAAAUAAAAAACAUGUGCAGGGGUACAGGUUAUUUGAGGUCAUUUGUACAUGUCGGUAGGGUUAAAGCGACUAUGCUUAGAUAAUAAACAGAGAGUAGCAGCAGUGUAAAAACAAAUGGACAGGGGCAGGCUAUGACUUGGGUGACUGGAGUCUUUGACAAUCUUUUGGGUCUUACUCCGACCCCGCCUAGUAUAUAGGUCCUGGAUAGCAGGAAGCUUGACCCCAGUGAUGUACUGGACCGUACGCACUACCAUCUGUAGCGCCUUAUGGUCGGAUGCCGAGC